UCUCUCUCUCAAUUAGACAUCAAAUUUUUUUGUCUUUAAUUUACUGUAUAUAUACUUUUAAAAAAGUCCAACAUUUGUAAACUUAAAUUUCAAAAUUAUACAAAAUUUGCAUAACUUUUUUACACUAAAGAAAUAAAAAUUGAUUAUAUAUCAAUGUUGUAAUUUUGUGUGUGUAUGGAAUAUUUUUAAAGUUAAAAUUGUUUUUUACAAACAAAUGCAUAUAUAGACAUUGUGUUUAGUGUUUUAAGAGUUAUCUCUUUGGAGAUAUUUAUCAAUUUUUUAUCAUAAAAGUUUUGCCGAAAAUAUCACAUAGAUUCGAAGUCAGUCUUUCAAAAUUCCAAUUUAAACAUAACAUUUCAUACUAACAUUUUUGAAACUGAGACACAAAACAAUCAUCCCCUUGCACUGUUACUAUUUUGUUUCUCUUACAGCUUAUGUAUAUCCCUAGUUUCUUGGAACUGAUUGUGGUAGUGUUUAGGUUUACACUUUACAGGUUGAACAAUAGAGUUUAUGAAUCUUUGUUCUUUCAUCGAUUAUUUCUUUGUUGUUUUGUACUGUGAAUUUUUUUUUGUUUACUUUUUUUUUGGAGAAAAGGCGGGGGGGGGGGGAGAUUUUAUGUUAAAUUCGUUCGUUUUGGAUGGAAGGAUUGGUAUCUCUACCGGCUAUGCCUUUUAAGAUUAUUCGACUAAGACUCUGAAUUAUUCAGACUGUUUUGUUUGUGAUAAUAGUAUAAUUCAGUGAGGGAAAACAAAAUACUAAUUUUAAUACUAAUUUUUGGAUAACUGUAGUUUCUGAAUCUGAGGUCCAAAUAAUCCCUCUAGAAUCGAUACCGAUGAAGAGUCUUAACUCUGGUUUUUUAUUGGAAUCUAAAAUAUAGUCUCAUGCCGGACCAAGCAAUAUCAAUUUAGUUUGUCUCAUGAAAAUAAAAAAAACCUGAUGAAUUUAUGUUUUAUCCUAAAUUCACCUCUUACAAAGGCUGAAUUUAUGUCUUAUCCUAACUACCACUGCUUAGUUCAAAAUACUGCAUUUAAAACAAUUGAAGGAUGUCAAGAAACAAAAACAAUUGAAGUAUUAAAAACUUUAGUGAAAAGUUUAUUCUGCUCAUGUGAUGAUUGAUGGGUCUCACAUUAAUGUGGACAAAGAAGAGAGAUGGAGAAGUGUGGAUUUUGAUUCAUAAUGCAUUGAUGGUGUUCACGUUUAUUUAGCGAUCGAAAUGGUCAAAAGAGAUGGAUGCAAGUUGCAACACAUAAUCCUUCAAUUGUUGGUAAAAAAAAAAAGAAAGAAUGCAACACAUGAUCCUCGUUUCUGUCGUUAAUUCAUCUUUUUUUUCUUUAUUCAUAUCCUCCACUUGUUUUGGGACGUCCAUUUUUGUAUUUACUAUUUCAGUAUUGAAUAAUAUCUUAUUAAAAUUACUACUUAUAUGCUCUUGCAACCAAUAAUUUUGCAUAUUUAUGAAGAUUCAUGUUUAAACAUUUUAUAAAAAUAUACUUCUUGUAAUUCUAUUUGCACCGUGUUAAAAAAAUUAAAUAAUUUUUUUCUAUAAAAAAACCAAUGACAAGUUUCAUUUUUAUAUUCAAAUUUAUAUUUCGUAAAAUGUAAUUCUUUGUUAAUCAAACCACUAUACUAAAGGAUUUACAAUUUUUGAUUAGCUUACUUAGAUAAAGAACAAUCGUUGUUUUCAUACUAUUUAUCCUAGUAUCAAGUAUCAACGCAUGAAGUGAAUCAAACAUUCCCACUCUUCAAAGGUGAUUGUCCUUUUACAUCCAAUCAAUGGAAUCUAUUUAUGAGAUAUUUACUUAUUUUUGUCCUAAAUAUAAGACAUUAAUUAUGGUACCAGUCGAAUAAGUGAUUUAGUUGUUUAAAUGAAAAAUGGUUUCAAUUUUACUACUAGAACUACAUAACUUAUUUUAUUUUUAAUUGUGUGGUAUUUGUAAAUUCAUUCAUAUUACAUUUUUUUUGGUCUAAUUCAUAUUCAUUUUUGAUAUUUUGUUUUAAAAUAUUUUGUCAACCGUUUUGAAAAUAUUCUUUGUAUAUUUUGUUUGUUCUUUUAAACGGGGUAGAGGCACUAUGACAUAGACGUAUCACAUACUAUUAUUCAUUAUAUAUUUGUUACUUGCAAUUUAUCAUAUUUCAAAAAAGAAAACUGGUUAAAAUAUUAUUUGUUCAAACUUAAGUAGUUUUCUUGAGGAUAUUUGUUCCUGACUUGUUAAAUAAUGUAAAAUGAAGAUUUAUAAAUUAAAAUGAUGGUUCAACGAUUGAAGACUUUAAGAAUAAAAAUAAAAUGUGAAUGUAAGAUACCCAAUUUCUAGAAAACGUUACUUUACAGUGUUUUAUCCAGACUAAAGUAGUUUUCUUGAGAAUAUUGACUGUUUCAUUUAUGUGUGGUACUGCUAGCUGAAUAAGGCUCAUUCUGACUUUGUUAAAUAAUGUAAAACGAGGAUUUAUAAAUUAAAAUGCUGGUUCAACGACUAAAGACUUCUUAAGAAGAAAAACAAAACUUGAAUGUAAGAUACGCAAUCUCUAGAAAACGUUACUUUCAAGUGUUUUAUCCAGACUAUGAAGUGUGGACCUUGCCGUUUAUUUUCUGAACAACAAUCAAAUUCAAUUUAUACCAAAAUGUUUUUUUGGUCAAUAUCAAAUAUUUUCGUAGUUAUUAAAAUGAGUCAAAUCUUAUAAUAUAAAGAAGACAUUGUCUCUCACCUCCUGAUGAUAUGUAAUCAAUUCGAGUGCUAAGGAACCACCACAUGUAUUAACGAAUAGCCGCUUGUGAGUUAAGUUUUUUUUUGUUUCAGGAUGGGCUGUUAUCUUUAUAGUUUGCAUUUGGACUUAAAUUAUUUAGUUUUUAGAGAACCGAAUCCGAUAGUGAGUUUUCUUCACACAUGAGGACAAAUUUAGGGUUCAUCAUUCUUUUCAUUAUCUGAAAACUCAAGCGACAAUGGGGUCUUCUGGAAGUUUCUACGGUGGAUUUCCAUGGCGAAUCUCUUGCUCAAGCUCUGUUUAUUCCGUUUCGUUUGGAAUUCUUUUCUCCUAAACCGUUACAAACUGCAUUGAAUCAUCAUCAUUAACGACUGCCUCAACUCUUCCACCCACUCCUACCACGAUUUACUCAUUCAUUACAUCUCUCUACAAGGUGGUGGAUCUCCAGCUUUUAAAAAGGUUAGCUUUCAUCUGUAAAUAUCAUCCUCAGAAAUCUUUAAAACAGUAGAAUGUUCUAUCUCGCUUGAAUGGCUAACUCCCUGAUUUGAAGUCCGGCCCAUGUCCUCCACCUUCGAUGUGCGACUUCUGAAUUUUUUGGAAAGCCAGAAACAUUUAAACAUGAUGUGGAGCUUAUGGGUAUUGAUAUGGCCAAUGUUAUUCUGUUCUUCUAACUAAUUCUGUUCUGGAAAAUCAAUCUUUAUAUAUUUCUAAAAACAAAGCCGGCCUCAAAACUGAAUUAUAAGAAAACUUAUGAAUAUAUUUAUUUUACAUAUUUGGUAGUUGAAUUCUACUAAGAUUGUUGAAGGUUUUUCCACUUUUCUAUUUGUUGCAGGCGGGUCUCAUGCUAGCCAUGGUGAACGUCUAUCGUCUGCUCACUUUCAGACACCUUUCCAAGGUGGGUUUAAUGUACUCCGUCACCAGAUUUGAUAUUAUCCGAGCCAAUCAAAACUUCAAGCUAUCCAACCCUCAUGUCUCAAUACGGUAUAAUGACUCGACUGUUUUUGAUGAGAUAACGGAACCGGUUUCUCCUCUGACAAACGUUUCCGGUUCCGUAAUCACGAUGAGCUACUAUGCGUAGACAACACUAUCACCCAUCUUCCAGACAUUAUUAGUGAGCUCGCUGCUAUAAAGAGUAAUGUAAGUGACCCUUUACAAGGGAAAUAUCGUGUCAUGUCAACGAUAAAAAUUGUCAGUGAUGUAUCUGUGACCAUGAGUAUGUUCGAAUCACAAUGGAAGGCUUACGGGUGGAUCCAAGGGUUGUUGUCACAACAAUCAUAAAUCCCAAGAUUGUAAGAGUAUUUUUGUUUCUAUAUUUAAAACAAUUAACGUCUGCUACUUACUUUGUGACUCACUCUGUUUUUUGUUUAGAGCAAUAGUUACUAAUGUGUACGUCUGUUGUCCGAGACUAACCUCAAGCUCCCAAAAAAAGACAAUCAAUCCUUUAUGAUCAAGACUGUUUUCAAAAGAAAAACAAACAAAAAUGUCUGAUUCCUUUUGAUAACAGUCAAACAAUGCCCAUAAAUUUUUAAACGCUCAACCAACAAUUAUGAUUUUAAUUGGAACAUUGUUUCUAGAUCAUAUACAAAUUUUUCUUUAGAUCACCUAAAUAGCAACUGCCUACAGUGAUCAUCACAAUUCAGUCUUCUCACCUUUCAGUUUCAGUGCUCUUUUAUUUUGUUUAUAUUUACUUUGCUACUAUCCUUUUCAACAACUAUAACUCUAAUUUUUAUAUGAAUCCAUUUUCACAUUAUUAUCAUUAUUACUCUAUUUUCCCAUUACUCAUACUUUUGCAUAAACUAAGAUUAUACAAAUACUUGGAUUGUGACUGACUUCACAUACACCCUUGUCGUAUUAGUUACAACUUUAACAAUGUUCUUAUAAUAGUUCUUUCUAACGUAAGUAAACUUGAUAAUGUAACUUACCACUACUAAACCCUUCAUCAUCUUCAUGCAUGAGAUGAUGCAUCACAAACAUAAUAAAAAAGCAGCAUAACUAUAACUCUGACUAAAUGGAAACUUUGAUUCUUUCCUCCGUGUGAAGUUGAACUCACCUCUUAGAAAAGGAAUUCAUCACUUCAAUGAUACUCUAAAACGUAAUAAUUCCACCUCCACUACUCCUUAUAUCCCAUUUUACAAAACAUUAGAAUAACAAGCGAACAUUAACAUCUGUUUGUUCACCUGUUGCAUAGCUAUGACCAAACAAUUUGAAGAAACUUUGACAACCUCUCAAGAUCAUCAUACUUCGGAUAAUCAUUCCUCGUAAUUCUUAGAAAAAUAAUUAAGGCUAAACAAGGUACAAAAAUAGCCAUAGUCAACCAGUUGAAGAUGGAGAACCAAUAGAUUAGCAAAACAAAAUAAACUCCUUAAAGUCUUAUAAAGCUUAAACAAAGACUUGAAAAUAUGAAUUGGAUAUAUAAAUUGUGACGCAAGAAAGCAAUGAAACACUCAGUAUGAUACAUUAUGAUAGUGUGAACCAUAAAUAGUAGACAA